rnacentral:rRNA from 1 species
UACGAAGGGGGCUAGCGUUGCUCGGAAUGACUGGGCGUAAAGGGCGCGUAGGCGGCUUGCACCGUCAGAUGUGAAAUUCCUGGGCUUAACCUGGGGGCUGCAUUUGAUACGUGUGGGCUUGAGUGCGGAAGAGGGUCGUGGAAUUCCCAGUGUAGAGGUGAAAUUCGUAGAUAUCAAGAGGAACACCUGCGGCGAAGGCGGGUUGCUGGGCCGACACUGACGCUGAGGCGCGAAAGCUAGGGGAGCGAACGGG